CUGGAGGUAUCAGAAGUGCGAAUGCUGACAUAAGUAACGAUAAAGCGGGUGAAAAGCCCGCUCGCCGGAAGACCAAGGGUUCCUGUCCAACGUUAAUCGGGGCAGGGUGAGUCGACCCCUAAGGCGAGGCCGAAAGGCGUAGUCGAUGGGAAACAGGUUAAUAUUCCUGUACUUGGUGUUACUGCGAAGGGGGGACGGAGAAGGCUAUGUUGGCCGGGCGACGGUUGUCCCGGUUUAAGCGUGUAGGCUGGUUUUCCAGGCAAAUCCGGAAAAUCAAGGCUGAGGCGUGAUGACGAGGCACUACGGUGCUGAAGCAACAAAUGCCCUGCUUCCAGGAAAAGCCUCUAAGCAUCAGGUAACAUCAAAUCGUACCCCAAACCGACACAGGUGGUCAGGUAGAGAAUACCAAGGCGCUUGAGAGAACUCGGGUGAAGGAACUAGGCAAAAUGGUGCCGUAACUUCGGGAGAAGGCACGCUGAUAUGUAGGUGAAGUCCCUCGCGGAUGGAGCUGAAAUCAGUCGAAGAUACCAGCUGGCUGCAACUGUUUAUUAAAAACACAGCACUGUGCAAACACGAAAGUGGACGUAUACGGUGUGACGC
rnacentral:rRNA from 1 species